UUAACUGUAUAGAUGAACCCUAAAAAGUUCUAAAAGCACAAAGAUUUGGUCCUGGUCUUAUUGUCAGUUAUCUCUUGAUUUACACAUGCAAGUCUCAGCACACCAGUGAGGACGCCCUUACCCCUUCUAUAGGACAAGGAGCUGAUAUCAGGCACUUCCACCGCCCAUAACAUCUAGUCCGACCACACCCCCAAGGGUAUUCAGCAGUGAUAAACAUUGUUUAUAAGCGACAGCUUGACUCAGUCAAAGAGAAGAGGGCCGGCCAACCCGGUGCCAGCCGCCGCGGCUAAACCCUAGGGCCCAAAUUGAUAAUACUCGGCGUCAAUCGUGAUUAAAGCUUUCUAAAAUUAGAGUAGAACCUAUUAUUAAGCUGUGAAAAGCAAUUUUUUUAGGGAAAAUCAGAAACGAAAGUUACUCUAAUAUACACUUGAACACACGACAACUGGGAAACAAACUGG
rnacentral:rRNA from 1 species